rnacentral:rRNA from 1 species
ACUGCUCAGUAACACGUAGUUAACCUACCCUAUGGUCGGAGAUACCCUCGGGAAACUGAGGUUAAAAUCCGAUAGAAGAUUUUCCCUGGAAAGAUUGAUCUUUGAAACUUGUGCCAUAGGACGGGACUGCGGCUGAUUAGGUUGUUGGCGGGGUAAAAGCCCACCAAGCCGAUGAUCAGUAAGGGCUCUUAGCGGAGGGGCCCUGAGAGGGAAUCUGAGACACUAUUCCCAGCCCUACGGGGUGCAGCAGUUAGGAAUCUUUUACAAUGCGCGAAAGCGUGAUAAAGCGAGCCAGAGUGCGUUUCUACAUGAAACGCUUUUGUUUGCUGUAAAAAGGCAGACGAAUAAGGACUGGGUAAGACGAGUGCCAGCCGCCGCGGUAAUACUCGCGGUCCAAGUCGCAGCCAUCUUUAUUGGGUCUAAAAUAUCCGUAGCUUGCUCUUUAAGUUUCUUGUGAAAUCCUGUGUCUUAAAUACAGGGCGGGCAAGAAAUACUAUUGAGCUAGAGACCGGGAGACGUGAAGAGUACGGUAGAAGUAGUGGUAAAAUACGUUAAUCUCUAUCGGACUUACAAUAGCGAAGGCACUUCACGAGCACGGUUCUGACAGUGAGGGAUGAAGGCUAGGGGCGCAAAAGGGAUUAGAUACCCCUGUAGUCCUAGCAGUAAACACUGCGCACUAAACAUUGGUACCUCCUCGAGAGGUAUCAGUGCUGAAGGGAAGCCGAAGAGUGCGCUACCUGGGGAAGUAUAGCCGCAAGGCCGAAACUUAAAGGAAUUGGCGGGGGAG